GUGGGGAAUCUUGCGCAAUGGGCGAAAGCCUGACGCAGCCAUGCCGCGUGGAUGAUGAAGGUCUUAGGAUUGUAAAAUCCUUUCACCGGUGAAGAUAAUGACUGUAGCCGGAGAAGAAGCCCCGGCUAACUUCGUGCCAGCAGCCGCGGUAAUACGAAGGGGGCUAGCGUUGCUCGGAUUUACUGGGCGUAAAGGGCGCGUAGGCGGACAUUUAAGUCAGGGGUGAAAUCCCGGGGCUCAACCUCGGAACUGCCAUUGAUACUGGGUGUCUUGAGUAUGAGAGAGGUGUGUGGAACUCCGAGUGUAGAGGUGAAAUUCGUAGAUAUUCGGAAGAACACCAGUGGCGAAGGCGACACACUGGCUCAUUACUGACGCUGAGGCGCGAAAGCGUGGGGAGCAAACAGGAUUAGAAACCCGAGUAGUCC
rnacentral:rRNA from 1 species